AACUCGCGGUGGAGAAUCAUUUUUAUGUCGCAGUUUCGCCUCUGUUCGACGCGUGCGCUGUCGAACGAAACGGUUUUCGAGAACCAUCUUAACGGUGCUUAAACGAUGUUCGAUUAAAAACAAAGGAAUCGUCGAAACUAUCGGAACGUUUGCAGAUAUCGUCGAUGGAACGAUUUUACGAUGGCGCAAGUCUCGACCACAAUGCAAUUAAGCUGUAUCGUUGCAAGCACGUUUUACAUAAUUGCAAGACACAAUUAGAUAAUUACCAACGUGAAGCGAAAGAACACGGUUAACGGAACUCGAAAUGUGUACGAAGUACACGCGAAAUUGCGAAUAAAUAGUACGGCUGAAAUCAGCUCAUUGGUACACGGCUCGAGUUACAGAGUUACGAGCACAAUAGUCGUAGCCAUCCCAUCAUUUGUUUGGUUGCCAAGUGUAGAGAAUGGGUCAGUUCUUAGCGCUUAGGAUAGUGUUCGCUUCUAUUAUGACUCCGGGACAUCUAUCAUUCGCGAUGGUACAUUCGAAAUCAAUUUUCCCUGCUUCUAAACCCGCGGUAAGUAACAACCCGGAUAUAAAACUGUCUACUGCGCGUGUGUGCAUAUACAUACAUAAAUCUGCUUAAACAGUGUAAUUGAAAUUAACAAAUGUCAUUCUAUAUACUUUGUAAUAGUCUUGCUGUAUAAACACAUGCAGUAUUACCUAACAGUAAUCGUAAGCCAACCAUAACCUAAAAGACUGUUCCUAACCUUUGACUAAAAAUUCUGCUUUCGACACUUGACUUCGCGUAUUUCUUAAUAUUUUUUAACAUAAAUAACAUCUAUUUUCCAGUAUCUCUACU